rnacentral:lncRNA from 1 species
UUUUAGGAAUGUUAUAUGAUAGUAUGAAGCAUUGAUAUAUCAUUCUAGGAUGCGAACAAACAGUGACACUAUGGUUGUAAGUAUAGCAGAUAUAGGUUGUGUUCGGCAGCCCUAUUUCAGCUGUGACACAGCCAUAUUACACAGUAAUUUGUGUCACUGCAAGCAGCUGUGUGGCUGCGUUGCAGCGGCUGCAACAUGCAGCCGAACACACCAAUAGAUGGUUUUGUUACAGUAGAUUGUAAAUACAUUUUUAGUCUAGAAUAAUAGAAUUCCUCGUCAGCUUGUUUGCUCUCUAAAAGACACUCAUUUCUGAUCAUCUUCUUAAAUCCGAUCUAUCUGAGUGGAUUAAUUACCCGAUUAAACUGCAUGCCUCUUUUGAGCUCUAGCCAGUCUCUAGAGCAACUGUACAGAGGACGUGACAAGCUCACAGAGUAAACACCAUGGCAAGAUGUCCCAAGAAAUAUGUGUCUGCAACCGUAGAGAAUAGAGGCAACCAAUAUUUUGACAAAAUAAAGUAAGAUUCAAUGAAAAUAUUUGAAGGGUUCAGUUUUAUCUCAUACCGCAGAACCAUACUUGCACUUUUGUUCACCAACACAUAGUUGAUUUUUCCCCUAACACGUAUACAUAUUUACUUUUAGAGCGAACUAAACAAAAAUGUGAUGUUUGAUGGAUACUUUUAGAAAAAAAAAGGAAGAAUCCAAUUUGUAGCAUAAUUAAACAGAAGUUAAGGAGAACAAUAUCAAUAAACUUACCAGAUGAUGGUUAAUUUGGAAAUCUGAUCAUAAGAAGGUGAGUAGAUCGAAUUCCAGGCAUAACUGCAAAUGGCAAGCGGUAGACCAAAUCAGUUGAUAUGCUAUUUCAUCCUAAAAUCACUUGGUGGUAUUACGGCGAGGAAAAUGAGAAAACAAUUAUAGGCCAGAAAUUAUCAGAAACCACCUUCUUAAUAGGGAUAGGGAAUGGAGACUGGAUUCUUUUUUUUCUUAGAUAUUGAACCGAAUCCUCAUAGGAUAAAUCGAAUGAAAUUUGGAACUUGAAGAUAAAAAACAGGAUAUAAAAUAAUCUUGUCAUUAGGGAGGAGAAGCGGACAUGUAGUUAGAUCACUCGAGCCAGAUAUCUGUUUUCAAAAUCAACAACAGGAAGAAUGAGAAAAAAAUAAAAGAGAGGAAAGAACUGCCCGCUUGCGAGAGGAUAACGGUGACAGGCGAGAGACCCCAAACGGUGGCACCGACUCACCUGCAUCUUCCGAUUUUCGAGAGAUGAAUCAGCUAUUUGAAGCUCUCCAAC